rnacentral:rRNA from 1 species
AUUGAACGCUGGCGGCAGGCCUAACACAUGCAAGUCGAGCGAGCGGCGGACGGGUGAGUAAUGUCUGGGAAACUGCCCGAUAGAGGGGGAUAACUACUGGAAACGGUAGCUAAUACCGCAUACCAUCAGAUGUGCCCAGGUGGGAUUAGCUAGUAGGUCGGGUAACGGCUCACCUAGGCGACGAAGCCUAGCUGGUCUGAGAGGAUGAACAGCCACACUGGAACUGAGACACGGUCCAGACUCCUACGGGAGGCAGCAGUGGGGAAUAUUGCACAAUGGGCGAAAGCCUGAUGCAGCCAUGCCGCGUGAGGGAAGAAGGCCUUCGGGUUGUAAAGCACUUUCAGCGGGGAGGCGGUACCCGAAGAAGAAGCACCGGCUAACUCCGUGCCAGCAGCCGCGGUAAUAC